UUCAAUAAUGAUUUUUUAUUUGCUUGUUUUUACAUAACAUUUAUAUGACAAUACACAAAACAAUGUAACAUAUAUAAACAAUCUAAAUCCUACCUUGUCUACUGUUAUCACUCAGACAUCACAGAGAGUAUUAGAACAGGAAAUUUAAGUAUAACUGCAUUAUCAUAGAAACAAUACAAAGGAUAAAGAGCUGCAAUUUUCAUUUGAUAUUUUUGGACAUUUUCCCGAACAGAUUUUUGCGAAUAUCAAACAUUUACUAGGAAAUUUAAAAGAAUAACUCUUUCAAAUGUCUUAGCUUCAAGAUCAGAUUGAAAAACAACAACAUUAACAUUUAAACUCAAUAGUAUCAAUUACAUAUCAAAUAGUAUGUUAAAAUACAUUGUUAGGCAAUUUCUGUAUCAAUAUAAAUCAAACUAAUUUUUAUUACUAUGACAGGUUUUUUUAGAUUGCUUCAUGCGUUAUUUUAAAGAGUGAAAGUUUUCAAAUCUGCCUCCUAGAGAUUAACAUAAACAUAAAAAUAAGUCACCUGACUAUCACAGUAUCACAUGAUCCAUCUUGAUUUUAACACCAUACAAUUUCUUGUAUAACAACUGUGUAAAACUCAUUAGAAUCAUAUUCAAAACAGUGUGGCUGUGGCCAUUGACUGAUGACCUUAAUUAUCCCAUUGACUUGGACAGAUUAAGUGAACGUUUGUCUGUAACGACCACUGCUCACUACUUACUUAUUAUAGAAUUUAAACUGUGGGGUAACCAAAUGUUCUUAACGCCUUCAAUAAUAAAA
rnacentral:lncRNA from 1 species